AGGACGAACGCUGGCGGCGUGCUUAACACAUGCAAGUCGAGCGGAAAGGCCCUUCGGGGUACUCGAGCGGCGAACGGGUGAGUAACACGUGAGCAACCUGCCCUUAGCUCUGGGAUAGCUCCGGGAAACCGGAAUUAAUACCGGAUAUGACCUAGGCCGACAUCGGCCGUGGUGGAAAGUUUUUCGGCUAGGGAUGGACUCGCGGCCUAUCAGCUAGUUGGUGGGGUAAUGGCCUACCAAGGCGACGACGGGUAGCCGGCCUGAGAGGGCGACCGGCCACACUGGGACUGAGACACGGCCCAGACUCCUACGGGAGGCAGCAGUGGGGAAUCUUGCGCAAUGGGCGAAAGCCUGACGCAGCGACGCCGCGUGGGGGAUGAAGGCCUUCGGGUUGUAAACCCCUUUCAGCAGGGACGAAGCGAAGUGACGGUACCUGCAGAAGAAGCGCCGGCUAACUACGCGCCAGCAGCCGC
rnacentral:rRNA from 1 species